rnacentral:rRNA from 1 species
CAUUAAAGAGUUCUAUAACUCCCAAACCCAUGUGAACAUACCUAACGUUGCCUCGGCAGGUCGCACCUACCUUGUAGCACCCUACCCUGUAGGGCCUACCCGGGAGGUGCGGGUAAGCCUGCCGGCGGCCCACCAAACUCUGUUUGAUAUUGAAUUCUGAACCUAUAACUAAAUAAGUUAAAACUUUCAACAACGGAUCUCUUGGUUCUGGCAUCGAUGAAGAACGCAGCGAAAUGCGAUAAGUAAUGUGAAUUGCAGAAUUCAGUGAAUCAUCGAAUCUUUGAACGCAUAUUGCGCCCAUUAGUAUUCUAGUGGGCAGGACCGUUCGAGCGUCAUUUCAACCCUUAAGCCUUCGUUGCUUAGUGUUGGGAGCCUACGGCAACGUAGCUCCUCAAAGUUAGUGGCGGAGUUGGUUCACACUCUAGACGUAGUAAUUUUUUAUCUCGCCUAUUAGUUGGACUAAUCCCCUGCCGUAAAACCCCCAAUUUAUCAAGGUUGACCUCGAAUCGGUUCAGACAAACUCGCUAAAUUGAAGCAUCUUAGUCAGCGAAGGAAAAGAAACCAACAGGGAUUGCCCUAGUAACGGCGAGUGAAGCGGCAACAGCUCAAAUUUGAAAUCUGGCCCUCGGGUCCGAGUUGUAAUUUGUAGAGGAUGCUUUUGGCGCGGUGCCUUCCGAGUUCCCUGGAACGGGACGCCUUAGAGGGUGAGAGCCCCGUACGGUUGGACACCAAGCCUCUGUAAAGCUCCUUCGACGAGUCGAGUAGCUUGGGAAUGCUGCUCUAAAUGGGAGGUAAAUUUCUUCUAAAGCUAA